rnacentral:rRNA from 1 species
UCGCGGCCUUUCAGCUCGUUGGUGGGGUAAUGGCCUCCCAAGGCGGCGACGGGUAGCCGGCCUGAGAGGGUGUACGGCCACAUCUGGGACUGAGAUACGGCCCAGACUCCUACGGGAGGCAGCAGUGGGAAUAUUGCACAAUGGGCGCAAGCCUGAUGCAGCGACGCCGCGUGGGGGAUGAAGGCCUUCGGGUUGUAAACUCCUUUCGCUAGGGACGAAGCUUUUUGUGACGGUACCUAGAUAAGAAGCACCGGCUAACUACGUGCCAGCAGCCGCGGUAAUACGUAGGGUGCGAGCGUUGUCCGGAAUUACUGGGCGUAAAGGGCUCGUAGGUGGUUUGUCGCGUCGUCUGUGAAAUUCUGGGGCUUAACUCCGGGCGUGCAGGCGAUACGGGCAUAACUUGAGUGCUGUAGGGGUAACUGGAAUUCCUGGUGUAGCGGUGAAAUGCGUAGAUAUCAGGAGGAACACCGAUGGCGAAGGCAGGUUACUGGGCAGUUACUGACGCUGAGGAGCGAAAGCAUGGGUAGCGAACAGGAUUAGAUACCCUGGUAGUCCAUGCCGUAAACGGUGGGCGCUAGGUGUGAGGGUCUUUCUACGACUUUCGUGCCGUAGCUAACGCAUUAAGCGCCCCGCCUGGGGAGUACGG